rnacentral:tRNA from 1 species
GCCGAGAUAGCUCAGUUGGUAGAGCACAUCCAUGGUAAGGAUGAGGUCGCCGGUCCGAUCCCGGCUCUCGGCU